AGAGUUUGAUCCUGGCUCAGAGCGAACGCUGGCGGCAGGCCUAACACAUGCAAGUCGAGCGGCCGUAGCAAUACGGCAGCGGCAGACGGGAGAGUAACACGUGGGAACGCGCCCUUCGGUUCGGGAUAACUCAGGGAAACUUGGGCUAAUACCGGAUACGCCCUUACGGGGAAAGAUUUAUUGCCGAAGGAACGGCCCGCGUCCGAUUAGCUUGUUGGUGAGGUAAAGGCUCACCAAGGCGACGAUCGGUAGCUGGUCUGAGAGGAUGACCAGCCUCACUGGGACUGAGACACGGCCCAGACUCCUACGGGAGGCAGCAGUGGGGAAUAUUGGACAAUGGGCGCAAGCCUGAUCCAGCCAUGCCGCGUGGGUGAUGAAGGCCCUAGGGUUGUAAAGCCCUUCAGCGGGGAAGAUAAUGACGUACCCGCAGAAGAGUCCG
rnacentral:rRNA from 1 species